rnacentral:rRNA from 1 species
UACGGGAGGCAGCAGUGGGGAAUAUUGCACAAUGGGCGCAAGCCUGAUGCAGCCAUGCCGCGUGUAUGAAGAAGGCCUUCGGGUUGUAAAGUACUUUCAGCGGGGAGGAAGGCGAUGCGGUUAAUAACCGCGUCGAUUGACGUUACCCGCAGAAGAAGCACCGGCUAACUCCGUGCCAGCAGCCGCGGUAAUACGGAGGGUGCAAGCGUUAAUCGGAAUUACUGGGCGUAAAGCGCACGCAGGCGGUCUGUUAAGUCAGAUGUGAAAUCCCCGGGCUUAACCUGGGAACUGCAUUUUGAACUGGCAGGCUUGAGUCUUGUAGAGGGGGUGAAUUCCAGGUGUAGCGGUGAAUGCGUAGAGAUCUGGAGGAAUACCGGUGCGAAGCGGCCCCUGGGACAAAGCUGACGCUCAGGUGCGAAAGCGUGGGGAGCAAACAGGGAUUAGGAUACC